rnacentral:rRNA from 1 species
CCUACGGGAGGCAGCAGUGGGGAAUAUUGCACAAUGGGGGAAACCCUGAUGCAGCGACGCCGCGUGAGCGAUGAAGUAUUUCGGUACGUAAAGCUCUAUCAGCAGGGAAGAAAAUGACGGUACCUGACUAAGAAGCCCCGGCUAACUACGUCCCAGCAGCCGCGGUAAUACGUAGGGGGCACGCGUUCUCCGGAUUUACUGGGUGUAGAGUGAGCGUAGACGGCUGUGCAAGCCAGAUGUGAAAGCCCGGGGCGCAACCCCGGGACUGCAUUUGGAACUGUGUGGCUGGAGUGUCUGAGAGGAAAGCGGAAUUCCAAGUGUAGGGGUGAAAUGCGUAGAUAUUAGGAGGAACACCAGUGACGAAGGCGACCUGCUGGCCGAUGACUGACGUUGAGGCUCGAAAGCGUGGGGAGCAAACAGGAUUAGAUACCCUUGUAGUC